rnacentral:snRNA from 1 species
AGAAGAGAGGAGGAGACAUCUGUCACCCCAUUGAUCACCGGGGUUGAUUUGGCUGAUCUGGCUUAGCUAGGUGGGGGUCCCCUUCCUCCCUUACCACUCCAUGUGUAUUCCUAUUGAAGCUGCAUGCUCAGUCCAAGAGGAUGACCAUCCCAAUAGAGGAGGACCAUUCUUCAGUCAAGGCUUUACAAAUAGCUGCCCUCCCCUCCAAAUAAGCUCUCCAAACAAGCUCUCAAGAAGAGAGAAGGAAGCUGUGCUCUGGAGAGAAAGACCUCAUCCAAAAGAGGGAUUUCCUGCUCCUCUUU